rnacentral:lncRNA from 1 species
CUCGCCGGGGCUGCCGGCGCCGGCGCGCAGCAGGGCGUGUGGAGCAUCAUCACCCGGCCCAUGUUCCAGAGCAUGCUGAGCCACCGCGGCGACAGCGGGUGCCAGGGCGCCUUCUACACCUACGACGCCUUCAUCGAGGCCGCCAGCAAGUUCCCCGGCUUCGGCACCACCGGCGACGAGCAGACGCGCAGGCGGGAGCUCGCCGCCUUCUUCGGCCAGACGUCCCACGAAACCACCGGUACGCGUGCAGAAUGCCUCGUGCUUGGUUUGGUUAGCCAUCAAUCAUUUCCUCGUGGGCCGUCGUCUAAGCUCGAUCAUGCAUCUGAUCGCAUGGGUACGUGCAGGUGGAUGGGCGACUGCUCCGGAUGGACCGUUUGCCUGGGGAUACUGCCGGGUGAAGGAACAGAAACAGACGGACCCACCCUACUAUGGACGAGGACCCAUACAGCUAACUCAGUAAGAUCAGCAGCACAGACACUCUGCAUGCAUGUUAUUAUAUAUGUUAUCCACAGCAGAUAGAGUAAAAUAGGAGAUUUAUAUUGUAUAUAACACUGUUUACAAAGUAAAAUUUCAAAUAGAGAAUAUGAUAGAGGGCGUGAUAGGGUAUCUACUAGAGAAAACCUAAUAACAGGAGCCCAUAUAUGCAUGCAGUAAGUACAACUACAGGCUCGCCGGGCAAGCGCUGAACCUGAACCUGGUGGGCGACCCGGACCUGGUGGCGAGAGACCCCGUGGUAGCCUUCAAGACGGCCAUCUGGUUCUGGAUGACGCCGCAGUCGCCCAAGCCCUCGUGCCACGCCGUGAUGACCGGCGACUGGAGGCCCUCCGCCACCGACCGCGCCGCGGGGAGGCUCCCCGGAUACGGCCUGACCACGAACAUCAUCAACGGUGGUCUAGAGUGCGGCGAGGACCGCUCCACCGACGGCGCCAAAGCCGCCAAGGACCGGGUCGGCUACUACAAGAGGUACUGCGGUAUGCUCGGAGUGGGGUACGGGGACAACAUGGCAUGCGGGAGCCAGAAGCCUUACGGAGGAUGAUGACACUAGUAGCUGAUCUAUGGUUGCUGCAAUGCAAGCCUUCACGUGUGUUUGCCUCUCUACCUAAAGAAUAAAUCAAGCUAGCAGCAAACCUACCUUCGGCGUGUGUCUACUUGCUUAUCAUAGUGUGUGUCCGUGUAUGAGAGAUGAUGUACUGUCACGAACUCACGUGUGUAUGAGAGAGGAUACAUGGUAAGACUAUCACUACUAGAAUCCGCCUCUUUACUGACUGACAACCAAAAAACACUCGAUAAGAAAAUACUUGGUAAAGUGUUUUUUUUUUCGAGUGUUUUAUUUUUAACUCUCGGCAAAUAGUUUCUUUGGAGAGUGUUUUUUACACCCGACAAAGAACUUAUUUGCCGAGUUUUUAUAUAUUUUACAUUUAUAUGUUAUCAAGUCAUUAUAUAAUGCAAUAAUUUAUAUCAAAUGCAGCUCGCAAGCCGAGUCGAGCCGAGCAUCCUCCUUCAGCUUGUUGAGUGGGCGAUCCUAGCUCGGUUAACCAACAAGCUGCACCGAGUCCAACCGAUCUCGGCUCGUUUCCAGCCAUAACUCAGACCAUGCAUGGCAAGGACCUUCUUUGUAAAACUAGAUGCUAGGUCUAAUUGGCCAUAUAAUAAUUAAAUAGUCCUCUUCUUCUAUUAGCAAUGCUUUGACAUGAAGUUGUAUAACAAGUUUAUAAGAAAUGGCCCACGUUUGCCAUCAUUAAACCAAUAUUUUCUCUAACAAAGAGAAUUGUCAAAUGCUCGGACAAAUAGAACUGACAAGCAUUCCAUCUUCUACCCUUUUCCUCUAAAAGAGGAUGACUUGGACAUUUGAAGCAUCUCUUAUCAAUGUUUUUUUAUGUCACUAAACAUACGCUCGACCAAGCCCUGAAUGCAAUCGAGGCUCUCUACAAAAUCAUUUGAUCAGCAACAAAGAGGCUUAUUUACUCUAGUGUACUAAACUGCAGCACUUACCCUUUCCAUAAACUAACAGUGUAUAAGGUUUGCUGAAUAGUUCUUGUAAAACUUCAGAAGUUCAAGUCUGAUGUCCAGGCCCCUUGAUUUCGGUUUAGUCUAUAGCGUUUCCCAACUUCCUGAUAUAUUAAAUAGAAAAUUAGAAAAAUCAAGAUGACAAAUCCAAAACUUAUUACAUAUUUGGGAUUAAAAACUCCCAUGAAUACACAAUAAUGCAUGGCCAGAAGAUGUCCCUGGAUUGUUACCUAAGUUCUAACAAUCUGGCUGCGAUGUUGCGAAGGGAGGUGGCGGGUGAGGGUGCAGAGGCUCUCGCGGGUUGGAGGACGUCGGCUCAGCUCGAUUGCAUAUUAAUUUUGGGUUCGCAUCUUCCGUGCGAGCAGUGCACGGCCACGCGCGUCGAUAAACCAGUGUCGGAGAGUCCCGUAAAACGCGGGCAUAUGUUAAAACCCUAGCGUCUUUUAACUAGAGAUAGCUAGUACAUAUUCCCAACGCACCUUAAAUAUUGUGGCUAAACCAUUUAACCAAGGUACAAAAUGGCCGAACGGAAGAUCCAGGCCUCCGAUGGCUAUAGGCUCUUCACGACUUUGCUUCACCUCAAUGCAAGCUUUACGAUGACACCACGUGCCUCACCUUCUCAUUCGUACCAGCUAGGUUUUAAGGACCGAACCCAAAAAACCAUCAGUCUGGUGAUUUUAAGGUCCAAACUCCAAACUAACAUAUGCCUCAUAUGUAGUGUAUGUGAUAUGCCCUCUUCACGAUUUUAUUGCGUGUCGCCGUCAGUCUUCGAUUGCACAACCACUCCUCCACCGACUGAUCAUCAAGUCAUCUGGCUCCUCCACUUGACUUGGUCGACACGGUCUACUCUCUCAGAUACAUUUGCACUUGUCGAUGUCCACAGUUUUGAGCCACCAUGAUCAGUACUCUUUCGGUUUGUCCACUCCAUUGGUCUAAGCCUCGACGUAUGUCCUUCACUGCUGCUAUUGGUACAUCAGCACAGAUCCUGCUAGAUCUUCACCUUCGCAGGUCAACAAAACGUCUUAAAAAGACGACGACCCCAAGAGUCUUCUUGGGUUGGCAUAUCUUCCACAAAAUGCAAAUGCAGCUAGCUUUCCCUUGUCAACCUGCCGGGUGCGGCCGGGCUAGUAGCUUUUUCUUCUGCAUGCCGGAACGCAGACGGCAAGACCAAUCCGAGUGGUAGCGCCUGCUAAUUUGGAAAUGCUUUGUGGACAACUACUUCCAUCUAUCCAGCAGCUCAGGAAAUAUUUACCGUACGUAGCUCCAUCACCCGCGGCUCCGCCUUGUUGUUAUAUAAAUUAGAUUAUAAGGCACGGCCCGAGAGUGGAGUGGGAGAGCGCGAAGUUAAGCCACCAUGUGGACGAGGGCUUUAGCGACGGUGCUGUUCGUGGCAGGCGCCGCGCUGCUCGGCGUCGGCGUCGGCGGCGCCAGCGCGCAGCAGGGCGUGUGGAGCAUCAUCACUCGUCCCAUGUUCCAGAGCAUGCUGAGCCACCGCGGCGAUAGCGGGUGCCAGGGCGCCUUCUACACCUACGACGCCUUCAUCGAGGCCGCCAGCAAGUUCCCCGGCUUCGGCACCACCGGCGACGAGCAGACGCGCAGGCGGGAGCUCGCCGCCUUCUUCGGCCAGACGUCCCACGAAACCACCGG